rnacentral:rRNA from 1 species
GAAGUCUGACGGAGCACGCCGCGUGAGUGAUGAAGGCUUUCGGGUCGUAAAACUCUGUUGUUAGGGAAGAACAAGUGCUAGUUGAAUAAGCUGGCACCUUGACGGUACCUAACCAGAAAGCCACGGCUAACUACGUGCCAGCAGCCGCGGUAAUACGUAGGUGGCAAGCGUUAUCCGGAAUUAUUGGGCGUAAAGCGCGCGCAGGUGGUUUCUUAAGUCUGAUGUGAAAGCCCACGGCUCAACCGUGGAGGGUCAUUGGAAACUGGGAGACUUGAGUGCAGAAGAGGAAAGUGGAAUUCCAUGUGUAGCGGUGAAAUGCGUAGAGAUAUGGAGGAACACCAGUGGCGAAGGCGACUUUCUGGUCUGUAACUGACACUGANGCGCGAAAGCGUGGGGAGCAAACAGGAUUAAAUCCCUGGU